AACGAACGCUGGCGGCAGGCUUAACACAUGCAAGUCGAACGCGUGCAGCAAUGCACGAGUGGCGCACGGGUGAGUAACGAGUGGAUAUCUGCCUUUUGGUUCGGAGUAACCCCGGGAAACUGGGGCUAAUACCGGAUGGUUCCUACGGGAUAAAGAUUUAUCGCCAAAAGAUGAGUCCGCGUCCGAUUAGCUAGUUGGUGAGGUAAUGGCUCACCAAGGCGACAAUCGGUAGCUGGUCUGAGAGGACGAUCAGCCACACUGGGACUGAGACACGGCCCAGACUCCUACGGGAGGCAGCAGUGGGGAAUAUUGGACAAUGGGGGCAACCCUGAUCCAGCCAUGCCGCGUGAGUGAUGAAGGCCUUCGGGUUGUAAAGCUCUUUUGGCGGGGACGAUGAUGACGGUACCCGCAGAAUAAGCCCCGGCUAACUUCGUG
rnacentral:rRNA from 1 species